rnacentral:rRNA from 1 species
UACGUAGGGGCAAGCGUUGUCCGGAAUUACUGGGCGUAAAGGGUGCGUAGGUGGUUUCUUAAGUCAGAGGUGAAAGGCUACGGCUCAACCGUAGUAAGCCUUUGAAACUGAGAAACUUGAGUGCAGGAGAGGAGAGUAGAAUUCCUAGUGUAGCGGUGAAAUGCGUAGAUAUUAGGAGGAAUACCAGUUGCGAAGGCGGCUCUCUGGACUGUAACUGACACUGAGGCACGAAAGCGUGGGGAGCAAACAGGAUUAGAUACCCGGUAGUCCCUGAG